AGUGAACGCUGGCGGCGUGGCUUAGGCAUGCAAGUCGAACGCGAAAGGCGCAAGCCGAGUAGAGUGGCGAAAGGGUGAGUAAUGCAUAGAUAACCUACCCUCAGGACCGGAAUAACCACUGGAAACGGUGGCUAAUGCCGGAUGGUCUGAUUGAGCGGCAUCGCUUGAUCAGUAAAUGGUUGCUUCCGGGCUUCUGCCCGAGGAGGGGUCUAUGUCCUAUUAGCUAGUUGGUGAGGUAACGGCUCACCAAGGCGACGAUGGGUAGCCGGACUGAGAGGUCGACCGGCCACACUGGGACUGAGACACUGCCCAGACUCCUACGGGAGGCUGCAGUCGAGAAUCUUCUGCAAUGGACGCAAGUCUGACAGGGCGACGCCGCGUGCAGGAUGAAGGCCUUCGGGUUGUAAACUGCUGUUGCACCUUACGAACACCCGGGAGUGAAUAGCUCUCCGGGGUGACCAGGGUGUGAGGAAGCACAGGCUAACUCCGUGCCAGCAGCCGCAGUAACAC
rnacentral:rRNA from 1 species